rnacentral:rRNA from 1 species
ACGGGUGAGUAAUGCCUAGGAAUCUGCCUGGUAGUGGGGGACAACGUUUCGAAAGGAACGCUAAUACCGCAUACGUCCUACGGGAGAAAGCAGGGGACCUUCGGGCCUUGCGCUAUCAGAUGAGCCUAGGUCGGAUUAGCUAGUUGGUGAGGUAAUGGCUCACCAAGGCUACGAUCCGUAACUGGUCUGAGAGGAUGAUCAGUCACACUGGAACUGAGACACGGUCCAGACUCCUACGGGAGGCAGCAGUGGGGAAUAUUGGACAAUGGGCGAAAGCCUGAUCCAGCCAUGCCGCGUGUGUGAAGAAGGUCUUCGGAUUGUAAAGCACUUUAAGUUGGGAGGAAGGGUUGUAGAUUAAUACUCCGCAAUUUUGACGUUACCGACAGAAUAAGCACCGGCUAACUCUGUGCCAGCAGCCGCGGUAAUACAGAGGGUGCAAGCGUUAAUCGGAAUUACUGGGCGUAAAGCGCGCGUAGGUGGUUCGUUAAGUUGGAUGUGAAAUCCCCGGGCUCAACCUGGGAACUGCAUCCAAAACUGGCGAGCUAGAGUAUGGUAGAGGGUGGUGGAAUUUCCUGUGUAGCGGU